UCUAGUUCCUGCAAGAGCUUGGAAUAACAUGUGCUUUUGUUGUCAAGUUUUGUUUAAAGUGUUGUAGAGAUAUGAAUAGUGAAUAAACUGUUAUGAAUACUCAUUGUAGGUUUUAGUUGUAGUUAGUUUAGACUUGCGUUCAAUUGUUGGUGAUUUUUGUUUUAAUUCGUGAAAACGUGUCGUAUUUAUAUUGUUCCAAAAUAAUUGGAUUUUGGUCGACAAUUCCAUUAAAGCUAACGGAUAUUAAUGCGCUGCUACAGUUUUGGAUUGCGAAAAUAAAUUUUUGAUUGCUAACCAAAUUGGGAUAUUGUUGACAUACAAUAUAUACUUGUAUUUGAUAGAUAGACACUGAUUUGUUUACGACCGUUGCUCAAGCAUUCCAUAUUUAUUGUAUGUCUCACAUUUGCUACACAUAUCAACAGAGCAUAUAUUAUAGCCGAAAUAUAUAUACAACAAGGAGUAUUAGUUUAAUUGGUAUUAUCAAAACUGCUGUCGAACUUAUACAUAGUGCUUUGAAACAAAUAUCAUUCUUAAGUGUGUUUAUCAUUCCUUUGCCAAAAUUGGGAAGCCAAAAUCUCAAAGCGACCGUGAAAGUGGUCAAAUUCUUCACAAAACACUUGCUGUGGAACAUCACGGGAUACACAAGCAACAGAAAGGCACAACGUCAUCAUCAGUGACGUCACAUUGCCAAACGAACGGAAACCCAGAAAUUUCUCAAAAUAUAAUUAUCCAAAUGAGGCCUAACCUUACAACACUGACCAAUGGCGUUGCGCUUGUCCCCGGAGUAGGGGAAUCUCACCUGAGUGCCCCACUCGGACCGGCAUCAAUGAACGGUACCGGCCCCACCAUCCCAAUGAAGGACCAUGAUGCCAUUAAACUGUUUGUGGGCCAGAUUCCCCGGAACCUCGAGGAAAAGGAUCUGCGGCCGAUCUUCGAGGAGUACGGACAGAUUUAUGAGCUCACCGUCCUUAAGGACCGCUUCACCGGCAUGCACAAAGGAUGUGCCUUUUUAACGUACUGUGGGCGAGAGAGCGCCCUUCAUGCCCAAGCCGCCUUACACGAACAGAAAACACUACCAGGGAUGAACCGGCCGAUACAAGUUAAGCCGGCGGACAGUGAAAGUAGAGCCGAACGCGACCCUACAAAACACGAGGACCGGAAGUUGUUUGUUGGUAUGCUCAACAAACAGCAGACGGAGGAUGACAUCAGACAUCUGUUUUCACCGUUCGGACAAGUUGAGGAACUCACUAUUCUAAGGGACCAAAAUGGAAAUAGUAAAGGUUGUGCGUUCGUCAAGUACUCGAAUCACAGCGAGGCACAGGCCACAAUCAACAAUCUACAUGGUAGCCAGACUAUGCCGGGCGCCUCUUCGAGCCUGGUUGUCAAGUUCGCGGAUACGGAGAAGGAGAGGCAACUCCGCCGUAUGCAGCAGAUGGCACAGUCAGUGGGGCUACUUAACCCCCUUGCUCUGUCCCAGAUAGGAACCCCGUCCCCGUACGGUGUCUACAGCCCACACAGGGACCUACAAGUUUACCCAGAAGCUCUCAUGCAGCAGCAAGCCCUUGUCGCCGCCAGUCAAGGUCACUACCUGACGCCCGUGACCUUGGGCCAAAUUCCGCAAGCGGUUGCCGCCCUUGCUGCGCCCAGCGGUAUCUCCACCGCCACUAUGACGCCCACCACUGCCUCUUUGGCCAAUGGUGAGAGUACAGCAUCGACUCCAAUCAGUGGAGCGCCCCCUAGCGUCCUGUCCCCUACCCCAGUGGCGGGAUUCCCCCUUCAGGCAAACGGACAGGCGGGAGAAAUUUACGCCAACGGCAUUCCAGCUUAUACAGCACAAACAAUUACCAACGGCGACCCAACCCAGCUAUAUACCACUGUCACUCCAUACGGGAUUAGCGAAUAUCUGACGGCCUACCCGACGGCCUUCAACCCGAUUCAACAGGCCCUGCUUCAGAACGCGGCCCUCAUGACGACGGCCCAGAAAGAAGGUACGCUCCUAGGACCACGUUUAUUCGCUAAUCUAGAAAUCCGAGAAGCAGGUCCCGAGGGCUGUAACCUGUUUAUAUAUCAUCUGCCCCAAGAGUUCGGAGACGCUGAACUCGCACAGAUGUUCAUGCCGUUCGGGAACGUGAUCAGUGCCAAGGUGUACGUCGACCGCGCCACCAACCAGAGCAAGUGCUUCGGCUUUGUGAGCUUCGACAACCCGGCGUGUGCCCAGGCCGCCAUCCAGGCGAUGAAUGGCUUUCAGAUCGGGAUGAAGCGUCUAAAGGUUCAGCUUAAACGACCCAAGGACGCCUCCAAGCCGUACUAGAGCCCGGCCGCCCGGGUAUCCAACUAGGGGUUAGGAACAGCCAUUGCCCAAGACUUACUUCAAAAUGAGCUAGGGCCAAGCACAUUCGAUUCGUUAGCCUAGUAACGAUAAGGUCUUCCGAACUGGUGAGGAAGGUGAAAUCUAGUCGACAUUUUGCAACUAUACGGACGGAAGUGACGUCAUAGAGAUACGAAAGUGACGCCAUAGAGCAUGACCGAUUCCAAGCGAGCCGGAAUCAAUUCUUUUUUGACAUAUAUACUGGUAGUAAACAGUGAGAGGACGAAGUAUUUGAAUAUUUUUAAACAAGAUAACUGGAUAUAACACAACAAUAACAACACGCAAAUUGAUACACUCCUCGGCUAAAAUGCUACUUUAUCAGAUAUAAACUUCCUGAACAGCGGUUAUACAUACCACCGAUAUUUUGUACAUAUAUUUUUUCUUAUUCUUUACUUACAUUUCAGUAAUGUUUUGUACAUAUUAACUUACAGGUUUUUUUCUAAAUUAUGUCUUUUAAUUUUAACUCGUUAUAUUUGCCAUUACUUUUUCUUAUUUUAUGAUGUUCUUGUUUUAUAUAUAUCUUGAUGCGGAUACAUUAUUUCUGAGUGGAUAAUGUCGAGUGUUCAUGGAUAUAUCUGUUCAUUAUAACAUGUGCAAUAUUUAAUUAUGUAUAAGUGCUUGCAUCCAGAAGUACAACAAUCUCAAACUUGAUCAACUUUAUGGAACAAAGAUUUGGCUUUUUGAUAAUAUACUUGUUAAUUAAUGAUAUGGUUUGAUGUAAGAAAUCCGCGAAGUUAAAAUGCAUUGCAAAAUCAUGCUUUCAUAUUUGAGAACAGUAAUACAAUUUAUUUAUGUUGGAACUUAUGCGCCACAAAAAGAGAUUACAUUAUGGGUGUUAAAUUUGUUUAUAUAUUUUGUGUAUUAUAUAUGACAUGUAUAAUUAUGAUGACAAUGUAUAGAAGUCAUGGCCCUCUUUGAUGUUUGAUGGCGUUUUUCAUUGUUGGUUACAUUCCAUAGCUCAUUGAUUACCUUGAAGGAUAAGUAUUCGGUGGGAGUUAGGCUUAACUCUUAUGGCAGAAUUGACCAUCAUAGUGACUCUAAUAGCGGGUUGAAGAUGGAUUGAAAUUGCUGACUAAGACCACACAUUCUGAAAAAUGAUCAAAUAAUGUUGUAUAAUUCAACAUUGUUACAAUACAGUUGGAACUCUGUCAUUGGAGGAUGCCUGACGAUUGUUGAUAUACGCAUGCCAAAAUUAAGCAGUUCUCAUGAAAUGUGUAAGACACAUGUUCAUUUCUGUUGUGCUGUUAUGUACAGUUUUGACCAAUCGGCGUCGUGCUCUAUAUUUAGUAAUAUGAGAUGUACAUUUUAUACAAUAUUUUGAUAAUCUACAUUUUUAUACAAAUUUACUAACACUCUUAAUAUUGUGGUUUGGUUAUAUAUUUUGUGGUGAUUGUACUAGAAACAAAUCCGAUCUGUAGAGAUAUGUUGUAGUAAUGUGACCUCUUACUAAAGUGUGCUAUUUUUAGAAAUAACAUCUAUUUUUAGAAUGAUAGCGGGUUUUCUUGUCACUUCCAUGUUGUGACGUAUAUUCUGGUUUAAUUUCCGGUGAAGAGUCCUGGUACAUCUUGCUUUGUACUAUUUUUAGUUUACAAAAGAGGGCCGUGUCUUCUGUUUAUGCCACACGCCACAUGUGUUAACACAACAUAUGGUUUGUAGUUACCUCCUUGUUGCGAUGAAAAUGUCAGUAGGCAUCUAUUAAAUAUACUGAUUUGAUUUUACAUCAAUAUUAUUGUGAUUUCAUUUCUAUAAAGAAUAAUAGUCCGUGUGGUAAAAUAAUGUUUUCCUUUUGUAAGUUUUGGAACUAGAUGUGAUAUGUUAAUAGCCUAUUUUAAUCGACCAAUAGAUGCCUCUGAUAUUUUUUGUACAAAACAAAGGAAGCAAGACUGCGGUCUUGGACAACAGUAAUCAUUCCUUGCAUAUAAAUCAUUUGACCUCAGUCAUUGUUUACUUCUUGAGGUUAUGUAAAUAGUCAGUUGAUUCUAAAUUAUUGAAGUCAUUACACGUUUAAUUAUAGAUUUUUAGAAUUAGAAGCUUACGGUAGUUAGAUUCUAUAAGAAUGUCUACUUUUAAAUAUGACGUUAACACAUUAUCGGUAUAUUCCGUGUCUAUAAAAAGGAAAGACCUAAACAAAUUACCAGACUUAUUUUGUUGUAUUUCAAGUUAAAAAACACUUGUUAAAAUGUUAAUUUUACAAAUGCCAUAUCGUUGUUAAAACACUACCUAUCUCACACUAGUUACACUUGUUGAAUCUUGAAGCUAUAUCAGAGGUGUAAAUAAUCUUCAAAUAUUGUUUUAAAUUAUUACGAUUAUUGCAUUGAUUGACAUUAUUUAUUUAUUUCUUGUUUAUUAUGUUCACAAGAGAGCUUUGCAUGACAUUUAAAGCAUUGUGUAAAUGUUCAUUUGGUAUGUGACAUUGAAUAUAUAUUACAAUAUCAUUUAGCGGUUCAUUUCAUACUUUUGAUGUUUUUGUAUGUUCUAGAAUUCUCCCAUUUUGUAACAACAAAAAUGACGAAGUGAAAUAUUGAUUAUUAACUAUUCGAUUGUUUAGUUUGAAAGGCUUUUUGGAUGUUAUUACAUAAGCUUUAAGCUUUUUGCAUCUAAAUGAAUGUCGUGUAUUUUCAUUGCCGCUUUUGACUACCAUUCACUGUAGAUAUUUUCGUAGUUUUAACUGCUGUGUGCAAAAUAUGUUCGCUAUAUUUGGAGACUUAUUUUCUCUUUCAUUGACAAAGGAUGGGGAAAUUUCCGUGAUGAUAAGUAGUGUUCUAGUUUGCAUAUUUGAGUUUUACUGUAGUAAAAUUGAUUCUAAAUUGGGAGGUAAUAUCUAAAGUCGUCGUAUUCAACGGGCAUUUUUUGAAAGCAUAUAUAAAUUCGCAUGUUGUUACGAAGAAGUGAUGGAUUGUGCUUGAGUAGAGCUGGGCGAACAUAUUUUGUUGACAGUAGAAUGUAGAUAAGCCAUUAUCAUGUUGCUAUCACUUUAAAUGUUCAUGUAUGAAUGAGAACAAUUGUAGACCAAGAUUUAGCUCCAUGCUACCCAUUUUCACCCUGAGACUUUCAGUCCAUCAAAAGUUAAGAUCAAACUUGGUUUUUAAAGCAGUUUUUCGUAUGCUCUUUGGAAUAUCAAACGUUUUGUAGCAUGAAGUUGUUAUCGUAAACAGGUAAUUAUCCGACCAUACUGACAAAGUCUUUAAAAUCUUCACCGCGCUUAUCAAUGUUGUUAUUUACAAUUUGUGUUCAGUUACAGUUUCCCUUAUUACCACCACUACUCUCAACGCCGCAUCAGUCCCAUACCCGGUCAUUGACACUCGUAUUUAGGGUAAUUAGGCUUAAGUCGUUUUUACACAAGCCUUUACUCAACCUCAGCAAUGUACUUUUCUCCAUUCACUGUUUGUUUUUGCUAAAAACGUUGUGUAAUGUUUUCAUGCAAUAAACAAUAAACAAGCCUUUACUCAACCAAUUAGACCAAUGUUACCAUGUAACAAUUCAGUUAAACAAUAAUGAAUGUUUUGAUUGUCGUAAUAUUAAACGAAAUUGAACUGUGAACAUUGAUCAUAGCACUUUUCAGAAAUAUCAUUAUGUAACGAAAAACAUAGGAAUCCAACACAUUCGUGUAGUUAAUAAUGACUUAGUAAUCCCCACAUGUUUCGAGUGAAGAAAGAAACUGUUUGAUGUUGUAGCCCUACACAGUGCAAUAUGCGUCACUAGUCUACAAGUUAGUAUUACUUACCGUGUUACUCAUCUGUUUGUUACAAAUCGCCCUCCUUAGUUUCUUACUGAUUAUAUAUGUUUCACCCACCGUAUAAUUGUAGACUUAAUGUCAAGCAACGGCCCUUCCAAAUCUUCUCACAAAUAUUGGGCUUCUGAUAAGUGUGUAUUUUUAUAUUUGAUAACUGUUUAAAUUUAUUCAAGUUAUAUUAUCAACAGCAUAAAACAUACAGGACCAAACAGUUUUAAACUGAAUUUUAAAUGUAUUUGCUAAAUGUUUGAAAUCCACUUUCAUUUCAUUUUAACCCCACUUUACUUGUUUUGCUUUUAUUGAUUGGGAGGAAAUACGUCUCAGAAAUGAAUCUCAUUCUAAAUAAAUGAACGCCCAUUACAAUUUGAUAUUAUGAACUAUUUUUUUUGCUUUAUCAUAAUGACUUUAGUUAGUUUUUAAUGCCAGCGUUUGAAUCAUUUUAUGUAUUUCAACAAUUGUUUAAAAAUAAGUUACGUUGUUAAAAGCAAUUGAAUCAUGUUAUGUAUUUCAGUAAUUGUUUAAGAAUGAUUUACAUUGUUAAAAUAUUACCAGGACCUUGAAUGUAUUCCACAAAUGUUUAACGUUUUACUUAGGUUAAGAAUAAAAUUAUGUAAUAUACAACAGUGAUUUCAUGGUAAACCCUAAAUAUACAUUUUUUUUAAAUAUACCUAAGUUGUUGCAGUAUAUUUAAUGAAUUCAAAAUUCUGGUAUAAAUCAUGGAUCUGAAAUCCUAUCUGACCAACUUUGUAUAAUACAAUAGGAACAGAAUAAUAAAAUA